AUGCCUGUGUGUCUACUCGUGUGGACAAAAUAAGGCUAUUUUCCAAGCCUUUUUUCUCACCCAUUUUUCCAACAACCUACACCAAUGCUUGCAAACAUAUACCAAACAAUUCAAUCAUCAUAACCAAGCCAACUUUAACAUCUAGCAUGAUAUAUCAUCACAUGCAUUCAUGUUUAUAAUCUUACCUAAUCAUGGAAGCAACAUUGCUGCCUCGAUCCAAAUUUCAAAUGAUGAACCAUUAUUGAACAAUAAUCAAUUUGAUCAGUUUCAAAGCUCAUCCUCCGAGUCUGAUGAUGAGACAACAUUGAAGGAGAAAGGGUCAUGGCGUAGAUAGGAUGUUCGGACAUAUUUAGUUUCAAGCUUUACAGAGAAUGAGUAAAAACGAUUAAACAAAUGGAAAAGGAGUGAGUUGAGUAGAAAAUUGAUUGGACGAGACGAGGAAUUUAAAUUAAUGGGCGAGAAACUAGCAUCUUUACUCAUGGUGCCUCGUAGUGAUGAGACUCAGUUAGAGUACUAUAUUGAUGAUUCGGUAAUUACUUAUCAAAUAUAUUGUGAUUGAGCUAUAAAUUUUUUUUUAAUUCGUAUAUUGGUUCUAUACAGAUAAACCAAUUAUAUUAAUUAUUUACUUUAUAUGUAGGUUGUUAGUACUUUUUUCAUAUUGCUUAAGAAGAGAUCUGACAGGUUUUCAAAGACAUACAUCGAUCACUAUUCAUUUGAUGCUCAGAUAGUUACUUUCUUGAUAACAGGAUCCAAAUUAAAACAAGAAGUAUUAGAUUGGUUUAAAGUCGAGAAGCUAAGAGGUGUCCACAAAGUAAGCUCAAAAGCCUUUGCUACAUGUUUUAAAAUUUCAUUAUAGUUUGUAAUGUGAUUGGAAUUUUAAUUAUAUUCAUUAUUAUAGAAGUAAUAGAUGUAAUUUUUUACAUUACAGUAAGGAAAACCAAUCGUAAUCUAAAUCGUUGAUUUAUCGACAAUAA